CAGCACCUCAAGUGGUCGGGAUGAUUAUUGGGCCUAAAGCAUCCGUAGCCGGCGCUGUAAGUUUUCGGUUAAAUCUGUACGCUCAACGUACAGGCUGCCGGGAAUACUGCAGCGCUAGGGAGUGGGAGAGGUAGACGGUACUCGGUAGGAAGGGGUAAAAUCCUUUGAUCUAUUGAUGACCACCUGUGGCGAAGGCGGUCUACCAGAACACGUCCGACGGUGAGGGAUGAAAGCUGGGGGAGCAAACCGGAUUAGAUACCCGCGUAGUCC
rnacentral:rRNA from 1 species